GGCCCAGAGAUGUGUUGGUGUGGUCCAUGAGGCCCAGAGAUGUGUUGGUGUGGUCCAUGAGGCCCAGAGAUGUUUUGGUGUGGUCCAGGAGGCCCAGAGAUGUUUUGGUGUGGUCCAGGAGGCCCAGAGAUGUGUUGUGUGGUCCAGGAGGCCCAGAGAUGUGUUGUGUGGUCCAGGAGGCCCAGAGAUGUGUUGUGUGGUCCAGGAGGUCCAGAGAUGUGUUGGUGGGGUCCAGGAGGCCCAGAUAUGUGUUGGUGGGGUCCAUGAGGCCCAGAGAUGUUUUGGUGUGGUCCAGGAGGCCCAGAGAUGCGUUGGUGGGGUCCAUGAGGCCCAGAGAUGUUUUGGUGGGGUCCAUGAGGCCCAGAGAUGUUUUG
ensembl:lncRNA